GGGUGCGAGCGUUACCCGGAUUUACUGGGCGUAAAGGGCGUGUAAGCGUCUUUCAAGUCCGAUGCUAAAGACUGGGGCUCAACCCCAGGGGUGCGUUGGAUACUGUGAGGCUAGACGGUCGGAGGGGGUAGCGGAAUUUCCGGAGUAGCGGUGAAAUGCGCAGAUACCGGAAGGAACGCCAAUAGCGAAGGCAGCUACCUGGACGACUUGUGACGCUGGGGCGCGAAAGCGUGGGGAGCAAACCGGAUUAGAUACCCGGGUAGUCCACGCCCUAAACCAUGAGUGCUGGGUGUCCGGCUUCUGCUGGGUGCCGUAGCUAACGCGCUAAGCACUCCGCCUGGGAAGUACGCACGCAAGUGUGAAACUCAAAGGAAUUGACGGGGGCCCGCACAAGCGGUGGAGCAUGUGGUUUAAUUCGAAGCGACGCGAAGAACCUUACCAGGCCUUGACAUGCCCGGAACCCCUCUGAAAGGAGGGGGUGCCCGCAAGGGAGCCGGGACACAGGUGCUGCAUGGCCGUCGUCAGCUCGUGUCGUGAGAUGUUGGGUUAAGUCCCGCAACGAGCGCAACCCCUAUCCCUAGUUGCCAGCAGUUCGGCUGGGCACUCUAUGGAGACUGCCUGCGAAAGCAGGAGGAAGGCGGGGAUGACGUCUGGUCCGCAUGGCCCUUACGGCCUGGGCGACACACGUGCUACAAUGCCAAGGACAGAGCGCUGCUACCUCGCGAGAGGACGCCAAUCGCAAAAACCUUGGCUCAGUUCGGAUUGGAGUCUGCAACUCGACUCCAUGAAGCCGGAAUCGCUAGUAAUCGCGA
rnacentral:rRNA from 1 species